GGAUGUAAGCAAGAAUAUCAGACUGAGACAGCCAAGGUCUGCUGCGCCAGGAGCAGUGCCCACAGAAAUCCAGGGAGAGAGAGGGCAGUGCACCAGGCAUGGGUGUCUCUCAUGAGCCACAGAUCACAGCCAGUGCCAGGCUGGAGUGAGUGCCACCAGCAGAGAAACUGGGCAUUCUCCUGGCCCCUCCAGCUGUGAAGGGAAGGAGCACACGAGAGCUGCUGGGCAGAGACUAUAUUUACAGCUCCAAAGGCAGCCCAAGAAAGGAGGCAAGCAAGGGAGAUAGCCCUCUGACUGCUGGACUCAGCCCCAGCUGGUGGCUUUUUAAGCCCACGUCCAGACUCUUGGUCCAAGCUCUCAUGAGCAGAUUGGAGCAGGGAGUACUUUGAAGUACAGGGACAUUUCUCUAAGGGAUCCUUGAGCCUACACAAUGUGUUUUCCCCUCACAAAGUAGGACGCAUUGCCCUCUUCUGGGGCUAGGUGGCUCAGCUGUCGAGUACCAGCUGUUCUGCAAGGGCAACCCAUCUCCUGAGCUGGAGCUGAUGGGAGGACAGGCCUGACAUUGGUGGAAUAUCAUCUCUUCUCCCAAACACGCCAUUCCUGACGGGACGCAGUCUGAUUUCUUCUUGCUCUUACGGGCAAUGCCUGGCUCUGGGUGGCCAUAGAAACUCUGGCUCCCUGAAAGAAAGGACCACCUCUUUGGUGCCCUGUGUUGAAGAAUGGCUGGAUACGUUCCUGCCAGCCGCUGGCUCCUAUUACUGUGUGUGGGAUUCCUGGCAGUGGCCUCGUGCGUUGGCUCAGUGGGGUCGAAGAAACUUGGAAGCAGAAGAAGCCGGGAGAAGAAAUCCCAGUGGAAUGAGUACCCCACAAGCCAGGGAAAAAGCAACAUGCCUCUGCCAGCCUCUAACGACCCGGAACCCCUUCCUGAGCGGUCUCGCAGCAUUGACCCCCGGGAUGCCUGGAUGCUCUUUAUGAAACAAUCAAACAAAGGGGUGAACAGCAAGAAACAGGGCAAAGGCAAAUCAAAAAAAUUCAAGUUUGGCAUGCCAGGCCCACCAGGUCCCCCAGGCCCUCAGGGGCCUCCCGGAUCCCUGGUGACACCAGAAGAAUUGCUGAAGGACUUCCGGCUGCUGUUGAAAGAGGUGGUAAAGGAGCAGGAGAGGAUGAGCCUGAAGGCCUGUGAAGGUUGCCAAGAAGGUGAGGAAGAGGAGGAGAGAGGAGAAGAUGACAUGUUGGCACUGGUUGCUGGUCCGUUGGCAAAGAGUAAGCCACAGCAUCGAGUGGAGGCAGCCUUUCACUGCAGGAUACAGAGAAACAUUUCCAUUGAACGGAGAUCCCUGCAAGAGCUUCGGAUCUAUUACAUACCUCAGAAAGAGGGGGUGUUCCAUCGAGGCCUGGGGCUGAACCUGACCAGCGGCCAAUACACAGCACCUGUUGCGGGGUACUACACCUUCACUGCCACCUUGCACAUUGUUCAUGGAGAACAACAGAAGAAAGGGCAACAGCGUGUGAGAGAUCGCCUGCGGGUACUGAUCUGCGUCCAGUCUCUGUGUCAACACAACAUUUCUCUGGAGUCAGCAGCUGGUUUGGACAGCAGUAAACUUUUCACCAUCUCAGUCAGUGGAGUCCUCUAUUUACAGAAAGCGCCCUGUGUUGUGGGUACUACUGGAACCAACCUGUGAAGAUGACAGUCACGUGCUUCUGCCAGCUGUGCUGGCUUUCCUCUGCGGCUGGGCAGGAAGCUCAUUCCUCAGUCUGACUCUGCAUCAUUUUUCAAAACCAGCCUCAAUAAUAGUGGCACGAUCAGCCUUCCAUCUCUCUGGGGGCUGAGACCCAGAACCUCAAAGGCUGGCCAGUAUGCCUCAGUUUUUGUAGACAAUGCCACUGGAUCAUCCCUCACUGUUCGAAGUGGCUCGGAUUUCAGCGCUGUUCUUUUAGGGGUGUGAAUGGUCUCAAACCACCUGCCCCUACAUGCUAUAAACUGAAUUGGUCUCUUCAGCAAGAACCACCUUAAUUUCCUCCAACCCAAGCAUAGGGAGCAAAGCAUAGUCAGGUCAGGAGCAGCAGUCUCUACAGAUUCUGCUUGUGCUACAAAACCCAGCCACCAGACACCAUACUUUGCACAAGAUCUCAAGCAUCCAAAGAUGAUGGAGAGCCGGGAAGAAAAUUGGAAGCAUGAAAAAGGGAGGACUCACUAAAUCCAUCCUCCUUUAAUUUAAUCUAUGGCCAGAUUUUGAAUCUUAUUUUACAUGGACAAAUUAUAACAUGGCUGACUUCUAAAGCCAGAUCAACUUUCAUAAAGGAACCCCUCCCCACCCAAUCAAACAUGAAUGCUUAGGGGAAGGUGAUUUGAAGAAGCCUUCACUCAUAGACUAGCCUUUUUGGCAGUUUUUUUCUGUUCAGUUUUUCAACAGGCCAAAGCCGGAUUAUGUAUAUAGCUCUAGCUUUCUUAUAGCUUAUCAGUUAAGGUUUGCUAUCAGCAGGCGCUGGUACUUGGAAGUUAAUUUUCAAUGCAGAGCAGUGUCCUGAUAAGGCAGCAGCCUAGUUAGAACGUGAAUUGCUGUCCAAUGAUUUUCCACUUCCUAAGAACAGUGUACUCACACCACCACCCCAUUCUCUGCCUAUGGCAGAGAGCCCAGUCAAUGGGUGGUGGAGAUAUGCAACGUUAUGCCUGGCUUUGGUCUCGAUAGGCAGUCUAACUCUCAUUAACCCAGUGGGACUACGUGCAUAAAUAAGGGCUGAAGGAAUGGGCCCUAAAUUAAUAACAAAGGCAGGGAAAGAAAAAGAUGCAGUCUCAUUUCUUAGUACCAUAUACUUAAUUCCUGAGCUCCUG